GAUCAGUGCUUGGGUACAUGGUGCUCCUUCCAAACCAACCUUUCCAGGAAGAGCGACCUUGAGUUUGUGGUCCACGGCCCGCAGCUGAAACGUCACGUGUUCGGGUAAAAUCCAGCUGGUGACAUAGACUGAGUCUCAGCCGAUGCCAGUAAAAGUUGUUCUUAGCGAUUCCCUUUUCAUCUAUUACCACGUUGCCAGUGGAUUCAUGAACAUUCGGGAGGAAGGAGGAUCUUAAGACUCCAUCACUUUCUUUUAAUCCCAUGCAAGAAUACUGAGGAAGACAGAACAUCUAACAAGGAGAAUUUGAAAAGCCCAAGACAGACAGAUUUCCUUCUUACUUCUGCCUACCCCACCCAGAUCUUUAUAUUUACAUACUCUGAGUGUUGAGAUGGAUGUAACUUAGCUGUGAUCACCAAAAGAGAAGGUGGCACACAAUUCAACCCUUACACUCUCCCUCGGCAUACAGCAAGCUUGGUGGCUGCCAAAUACGGAUGGAUACAAAACCUUUUGCUUCAGAAAACCAAGGCUCACCUUGCCCAGCUGGUACUGGACAUGAUGUUUUCUGGGUGUGGGCAGGAAGACAUUCUGAGUUCUCGGGCCAGAAGGGUGUCUACAUGUGUGGAUUUGGUCCCUUGUCUUGAAAACCUUACUUUACUGCUGAUUCCGUCUCCAUCUUCCAGCAAAAACAUACAAAAGAUUUUCCUCCAGAUCAUGCAAAACAACCUCCCCUUUAAAAAAUAAACACUGAAGCAUUUCCUCCGUGGUCUCA